rnacentral:rRNA from 1 species
AGUUGUUGCAGUUAAAAAGCUCGUAGUUGAAGUUCUGAUUGUUCGGGCCUCGCGCUUUAUAGCCGAGGAACCGACAGUCAUCCGCUUGCAAAUAUAUGUUCGCCUUUAACCGGGUGGCUAUAUGAGUAAGCAAUUUACCUUGAGAAAAACAGAGUGUUCCAGGCAGGUUUGUCCGGAAUGCAUUAGCAUGGAAUAAUAGAAUAUGACUGAAGUCGAUUUAUUGGUUUAAGGCUUUAGUAAUGAUUAAUAGGAACAGUCGGGGGCAUUGGUACUUGACAGUCAGAGGUGAAAUUCUAGGAUUUGUCAAAAGACUAACAAAAUGCGAAAGCAUUUGCCAAGGAUGUUUUUCAUUAAAUCAAGAACGAAAGUUAGGGGAUCAAAGACGAUCAGAUACCGUCCUAGUCUUAACUAUAAACUAUACGACUCGGAUUCAGAUGAAUCAAAAAGUUCAUUUGGACCGUAGGAGAAAUCAAAGUUUUGGGUUCUGG